rnacentral:rRNA from 1 species
UGGGGAAUCUUGGACAAUGGGGGCAACCCUGAUCCAGCCAUGCCGCGUGAGUGAUGAAGGCCUUAGGGUCGUAAAGCUCUUUCGCCUGUGAAGAUAAUGACGGUAGCAGGUAAAGAAACCCCGGCUAACUCCGUGCCAGCAGCCGCGGUAAUACGGAGGGGGUUAGCGUUGUUCGGAAUUACUGGGCGUAAAGCGCACGUAGGCGGACCAGAAAGUUGGGGGUGAAAUCCCGGGGGCUCAACCCCGGAACUGCCUCCAAAACUAUUGGUCUAGAGUUCGAGAGAGGUGAGUGGAAUUCCAAGUGUAGAGGUGAAAUUCGUAGAUAUUCGGAGGAACACCAGUGGCGAAGGCGGCUCACUGGCUCGAUACUGACGCUGAGGUGCGAAAGUGUGGGGAGCAAACAGGAUUAGAUACCCUGGUAGUCCACACCGUAAACGAUGAAU